rnacentral:rRNA from 1 species
GAUGAACGCUGGCGGCGUGCCUAAUACAUGCAAGUCGAGCGAACAGACGAGGAGCUUGCUCCUCUGACGUUAUCGGCGGACGGGUGAGUAACACGUGUAUAACCUACCUAUAAGACUGUGAUAACUUCGGGAAACCGGAGCUAAUACCGGAUAAUAUAUUGAACCGCAUUGUUCAAUAGUUAAAGACGGUUUUGCUGUCACUUAUAGAUGGAUCCGCGCCGCAUUAGCUAGUUGGUAAGGUAACUGCUUACCAAGGCAACGAUGCGUAGCCGACCUGAGAGGGUGGACGGACACACGGGAACUGAGAAAGGGCAGAGACACCGAGGGGGGGAAGCAGCAGGGAAUCUUACGGAAUGCGGGAAAGGUGGAUGGAAGACAGCGGGGGGAGCGAUGAAGGUCUCAGGACCGUAAAACUAUGUUAGUAGGGAAGAACAAAUGUGUAAGUAACUAUGAACGUCUUGACGGUACCUAAUGAGAAAGCCACGGCUAACUACGUG